AUCAACUUUCGAUGGUAGGAUAGAGGCCUACCAUGGUGGUAACGGGUAACGGGGUGUUAGGGCACGACACCGGAGAGGGAGCCUGAGAAACGGCUACCACAUCCAAGGAUGGCAGCAGGCGCGCAAAUUACCCAAUCCCGACACGGGGAGGUAGUGACAAUAAAUAACAAUACGGGGUUCUUUCGGAUUUCGUAAUUGGAAUGAGUACAAUUUAAAUCUCUUAACGAGGAACAAUUGGAGGGCAAGUCUGGUGCCAGCAGCCGCGGUAAUUCCAGCUCCAAUAGCGUAUAUUAAAGUUGUUGCAGUUAAAAAGCUCGUAGUUGAAUUUCGGGAUCACCAGGUUGGUCGUGCCUUCGGUAUGUACUUGCUUCGGUGGUCCCUCCUUCUUGAAGAACCGUAAUGCCAUUAAUUUGUUGUUGCGGGGAAACAGGACUGUUACUUUGAAAAAAUUAGAGUGCUUAAAGCAGGCAAUCGCUUGAAUACAUUAGCAUGGAAUAAUGAAAUAGGACGUUCGACCCUAUUUUGUUGGUUUCUAGGAUUGACGUAAUGAUUAAUAGGGAUAGUUGGGGGCAUUAGUAUUCAAUUGUCAGAGGUGAAAUUCUUGGAUUUAUUGAAGACUAACUACUGCGAAAGCAUUUGCCAAGGAUGUUUUCAUUAAUCAGGAACGAAAGUUAGGGGAUCGAAGACGAUCAGAUACCGUCGUAGUCUUAACCAUAAACUAUGCCGACUAGGGAUCGGAUGAUGUUAAUUUUUUAAUGACUCAUUCGGCGCCUUACGGGAAACCAAAGUGUUUGGGUUC
rnacentral:rRNA from 1 species